rnacentral:rRNA from 1 species
UACGUAGGUGGCGAGCGUUGUCCGGAUUUACUGGGCGUAAAGAGCGCGCAGGCGGUCGUUCAAGUCGCGUGUGAAAGCCCCCGGCUCAACUGGGGAGGGUCACGCGAUACUGAUCGACUCGAAGGCAGGAGAGGGAAGUGGAAUUCCCGGUGUAGUGGUGAAAUGCGUAGAUAUCUGGAGGAAUACCGGUGGCGAAGGCGGCAUCCUGGACCGACAUUGACGCUGAGGAGCGAAAGCUAGGGGAGCAAACGGG